rnacentral:rRNA from 1 species
CGCAUCUGUGCAUGCAGCAUAUCAAUAAGCGGAGGAAAAGAAACUAACAAGGAUUCCCCUAGUAACGGCGAGUGAAGCGGGAAGAGCUCAAAUUUGAAAUCUUAAAGGGUUUCCCUUUACGAAUUGUAGUUUAAAGAAGUGUUUUCUGUUGAGGUUUUGGUAAAAGUUCUUUGGAAUAGGACAUCAUAGAGGGUGAGAAUCCCGUAUUUGACCUUUACUUUCAACUUUGUGAUACACUUUCAAAGAGUCGGAUUGUUUGGGAAUGCAGUCCAAAAUGGGUGGUAAAUUUCAUCUAAAGCUAAAUAUUGGCGAGAGACCGAUAGCGAACAAGUACCGUGAGGGAAAGAUGAAAAGAACUUUGAAAAGAGAGUUAAACAGUACGUGAAAUUGUCAAAAGGGAAGCGUUUGACACCAGUGUUGUUUUUCUGAAAAUCAAUUAAAGAACUGUUUAUGCUAAGUUGUUUAGACUUUAUCAGCUAACUGUUUAGUUUCGAGCUUUUCUUUAAUGCACUUUUCAGUUAACAAGUCGACAUCAAUUUCUUUUGCUGUAAAAAAGCUUGAGGAAGGUGGCUUGAGAUUCGUCUUAAGUGUUUAUAGCCUCUUGCCUAUGCAGUCGGAGAGAUUGAGGUCUGCAGCGUAGAUCCUUCGGGGCUAAAUGCAUUUGUGCUAAGUUAUAGCAUUUUAUAGACAACUUGUUGACUAUGAUUUGUCUUGUAGCUUACUCGCUUAUGUUAUUUUACCUACGCUUAGGAUGUUGAACGCGCACAGAGUCUC